rnacentral:rRNA from 1 species
AUUUAUGGCCAUACCUCACUUAACGCACCCGCUCUCAUCUGAUCUCACAAGCUAAGCAGGGUCAGGUUUGUACUUGGAUGGGAGACAAGUACAGCUGUUGGUAGCCUUUAUGC